rnacentral:rRNA from 1 species
UACGGAGGGAGCAAGCGUUACUCGGAAUUAUUGGGCGUAAAGGGCGCGUAGGCGAUUCGAUAAGUCUCAUGUGAAAUCCCAGGGCCUAACCCUGGAAUGGCAUGGGAUACUGUUGGAUUUGAGUUCCGGAGAGGAAGGCAGAAUUCCCGGUGUAGCGGUGACAUGCGUAGAUAUCGGGAGGAAUACCAGUGGCGAAGGCGGCCUUCUGGACGGAUACUGACGCUGAGGCGCGAAGGCCAGGGGAGCAAACGGG